UUAAUAUUUAUUAUUAACUGAAGUUACUGCUACUACAAAGGGUUUUUAAUGUCCUCGUGGUGGGCAAGCCCACCGAGGAAACAAGGGUACUCAUAAACAAAGGGUGCUAUCUCAAUGGGGCCGAAGCCCCACGGUAAUGAUCCUUCCGCAGGUUCACCUACGGAAA
rnacentral:misc_RNA from 1 species